AUACGUAGGGGGCGAGCGUUGUCCGGAAUGAUUGGGCGUAAAGGGCGCGUAGGCGGCCCGGUAAGUCUGGAGUGAAAGUCCUGUUUUUAAGAUGGGAAUUGCUUUGGAUACUGUCGGGCUUGAGUGCAGGAGAGGUAAGUGGAAUUCCCAGUGUAGCGGUGAAAUGCGUAGAGAUUGGGAGGAACACCAGUGGCGAAGGCGACUUACGGGACUGUAACUGACGCUGGGGCGCGAAAGUGUGAGGAGCAAACAGGAUGAGAUACCCUGGUAGUCCACACUGUAAACGAUGAUUACUAGGUGAGUGGGGACGGACCCCUUCCGUGCCUCAGUUAACACAAUAAGUAAUCCACCUGGGGAGUACGGCCGCAAGGUUGAAACUCAAAUGAAUUGGCAGGG
rnacentral:rRNA from 1 species